UACGACACCUGUGUUUCGACAUCUGAAAACGAUAUGCCGUUUUCUCGUUCUACAAAAACGCUUGUUUUGAAUCCGCUGAGGCCUUGCCCGAGAGCCUUGUGAUACGCUGUGUUCCUUGUAACUUUAAGUGUUGUUUAGGUUGGCUACACUCGUUUCACCACCAUGCUUGUGCCUGUGUGCAAGUUUGUGUGUGUGAAAGAAAACUGCUGCCAUCGAGCAAGCUGUCAUCUGUCAAGUUUGGAUACAGUUUAUGCGUACCAGCUUGUGAACUUGACAAUAAAGGUUUAACUGAC